rnacentral:misc_RNA from 1 species
AAGUCGUAACAAGGUUUCCGUAGGUGAACCUGCGGAAGGAUCAUUACAGAGAACUUGCCCCUUGGGGUAGAUCUCCCACCCUUUGUUUACCAUACCUAUGUUGCUUUGGCAGGCCCGCCUUUGGGCCACCGGCCUUGGCUGGUCAGCGCCUGCCAGAGGAUCUCAAACUCUUGAUUUAGUGUUGUCUGAGUACUUGAUAAUAGUUAAAACUUUCAACAACGGAUCUCUUGGUUCUG